rnacentral:rRNA from 1 species
UACGAAGGGGGCUAGCGUUGUUCGGAUUUACUGGGCGUAAAGCGCACGUAGGCGGGUUGUUAAGUCGGGGGUGAAAUCCUGGAGCUCAACUCCAGAACUGCCUUCGAUACUGGAAAGCUCGAGUCCGGGAGAGGUGAGUGGAACUGCGAGUGUAGAGGUGAAAUUCGUAGAUAUUCGCAAGAACACCAGUGGCGAAGGCGGCUCACUGGCCCGGUACUGACGCUGAGGUGCGAAAGCGUGGGGAGCAAACAGG